rnacentral:lncRNA from 1 species
AAGCUGCCUCUCCUGCUGCUUGGCGCAGCUUCUCCACGGACGCCACUAGAUAACCCUCCUACCACCGUACCUGCAUAGUCAACAAAGGCCAACGGCUGGUUCUCCCUCCAACGAGGACACCUUCGCCACCAUCGGCGUCAUCCUACUUUUACUCCCCUCCUGAACCGAGGUACCUCUGUCCUUCCCUCCUCCCACUUUUGCUUGCUGCAUAGAUCCAAUUAUCACUUGUUUUUAUUUUCCCCUACAUCCUGCUGCAUAAUUUUGAUGUUCUAUUUUGGAUCUCAGAAGUAAGAAAAUUGUAACGUGUAACCACUGAUCCUCAAUGACGCUUAGAAGUCAUUAAAAACAAUGUUGGUUUCUUACAUGUUUCUGCAAAAGUUUGAGUUCUGCCGUACUUAUUAAUGGAUCUGCACGUAGCUAGCAUAGAUCUGCCCGGUUCUUACAAUGUCCAUAAUAAGUUGCAUCAUAGCCUGUGAAUAAUGAAUGUCAGUAAAAUUGUACAAGUGUUGCUUGUCCGUACUUGUGAGUUGCGUUGCCUCCAUGCAUGUACGAGGUGCUGAUAGCUUAACAGGUUUCUGCUUUCAGGGAGGGAGGGAGAUGAGGCGAUGAUACUGGAAGAGGUGUGAGAUGUGCAAGCACAACACCAAGGACAGACUGCUGGCUCAUCAUUGUUGGCAAGGUAUAUCCACACAUCUUCUCCCCGCUGGCCCUCCUGAUUGUUUUCUUGCAUUAUUGUCAUGUCAAGAUUCAGUUUUCCUUCUUCCUGAUUGUUUUCUUGCAUUAUUGUCAUGCCAAGGUUCAGUUCUUCUUGUUACGUGCUGGACUGGUAGCGAUUCGAGUACAUCAGCCGACAUAUACGCCCAGUACUGCAGGACUAUUUCUUGAAUUCUUGGUUAUGGUGAAGAAUCAGUUUGGCUUAGUACACAUUAAGUGAAUCCUGGGGUUAAAAUCCAAAGGUAAUUCUCUGAAUUGUGAAUUGAUUUGAGAGCUUACACUCUGGUUUACUUCCAGAUUUUCACACCAUCGGAACCGAUAAAUUAUGAGUACCAUGCUUCCAGACUUCCACCCGCUUUAUACAAGGUCGGAACACUUUGAGCGAGCGUGUGUGAUUUUCUUAUGGUCCUCGGAAACUAGGCUUUCAUCCCCUUAAGAAUUGCAUUUGUUCACGUGGGAUCCAAUUCUCCAUCUGAAUUCUGGGCAUAACUUUGGAUCUUUUGUCAGUUUUUCUUCAUCUUCAAUGCAUCCAAUUUUUUUUGCCUUGCAAUAACAGCACCUUGGAAAAAAGUGCUCAUUUCAUUUUCAUCAAACGCUUGAACAGGAAUUAAUACAGUCAUGCAUGCAUUUUUUAGCAUAGUACGCAUACUUUUUAGCAAAGUAUGCAUGCCGUUCCUUUUCUUCUUUUGAAGAACAAAAUGGUAGGUGUUUUGAUGCUGAGUCCACACGUUAUUUUUUAUAUACUUAUUAGGUAGGGGCUGUUUGGUUGCCAGCCUCAGCUAGCCACGCCAAACAUGUGGCGUGCCACAGUUUUCUAGGAUGUUGUAUGGUUGUUACUAAACUUUGGCUCGCCACAGCUCGCCGGAGCUUUUGUUGUACAAAUAUUUGGCUAAGGGGUGGUGUUCGUUCCAGCCGCCACACAUUCUGUGGCGUGCCACACCUGCCUCUUCUUAGGCGUGGCAAACUGAGCGCCCAACCAAACAACCCCUAAAUCUUAACUUCUAAAUAGAUGUCAUUUCAGUUUGGUGAAAAGCAAACUGAAAAUAAUAAUUUUUCAUAGACAACAGAAUAAUCUCAACCAUCUUACUCUUUGUUCAGUUCCUAGCUGCAAUCGCCAUAGUAAGAACAAACAUGGGUGACCUGAUGUAAGAACAAAGAUUUUGUCACUAGUGCAGUAGAAUCCAGACCAAGAUGAGUGAUCACUGAUCAGCAACUGGGCCUUGACGAGACGGAUGACAGUGCAGUGCCACUUUUUCACGAGAAAGAUGAUGACUCGGGAAGGAAAAGGUGGGAGAGGCCCGAAUGGAGACGACAGCUCUGUUCAUUUCUGCGUCUUUUACUACUGUAGAUUCGCUGGCGCUGCACUAUCAAUGUAGCUUUAUGGCCUGCUCAAUGACUAUUCGGUUGUCAUUUUAACAUCUACUAUAACCAAGCGCCGUAGAUGGAAUUAUGCUGCUGCUACUGACAACUUUGUGUGCAAUGCAGAACUUCAAAAUCGCGACCUGAUGGAUUCCCAAGCCGGCGAAGAAGCACUUCAUGACAUGGAUAACUCUCAACUGAAGGUAUACUUAUUGAAACCUCCAUAGUGCAGGUAACAGCAGGUUUCUUUUCAAGCAUGUCUAAGCAUAGAUGGCUUGAAAGCAUAAAACUACUGGAAGUUUUCCACUGGCCGUGCAUAUAUUCAUUGUUGGCAUGAAGUUUCUACCUAAGAAACUACAGGAACUAAUAUAGGAGUAUUUAAAAACAGUGGUUUAGUAAUCUAAACGCACUUAUAUUAAUUUACAGAGGGAGUACCAAAGAUGUGUUGAACAGCUAUUUAUUAUAAACAGUUUCAUUAUUCAUUAGAUUAUUCUAUUUCUUAGAAGUGGAAAACGAAACUCCCAAUUAUAUUUCAGAUCAAUAUUAUGUCGUUGGCCACCUGCUAGCUCUGCCCAUUGGAAAUUCUCUGUGUUAUCUUCCAAAGAACCGAUAUGAGAAAAAUAGAAGUACACAUAUAAAUCUGCAUGCA